rnacentral:tRNA from 1 species
AGAAAUAUAAGCUAAAUAAGCUAGUGAGCUCAUAACUCAUUGAUAGGAUUACCUUAUUUCUA